rnacentral:rRNA from 1 species
AAACCAACAGGGAUUGCCUUAGUAACGGCGAGUGAAGCGGCAAAAGCUCAAAUUUGAAAUCUAGUACCUUCGGUGCUCGAGUUGUAAUUUGAAGGAGUUUUUCUGGUGCUGGCCCUUGUCUAUGUUCCUUGGAACAGGACGUCAUAGAGGGUGAGAAUCCCGUCUGAUGGGGUGUCCAGUGCUUUGUAGAUUUUCUCCGAAGAGUCGAGUUGUUUGGGAAUGCAGCUCUAAGUGGGUGGUAAAUUCCAUCUAAAGCUAAAUAUUGGCGAGAGACCGAUAGCGAACAAGUACAGUGAUGGAAAGAUGAAAAGAACUUUGAAAAGAGAGUGAAAAAGUACGUGAAAUUGUUGAAAGGGAAGGGUAUUAGAUCAGACUUGGUGUUUUGUGAUUAUCUUCCCUUCUUGGGUUGUGCACUCGCAUCUCACUGGGCCAACAUCGGUUCGGAUGGCAGGAUAAUGACUUGGGAACGUGGCUCUCCUUCGGGUGAGUGUUAUAGCCCUUGUUGAUACUGCCUAUCUGGACCGAGGACUGCGGCUUUUGCCUAGGAUGUUGGCGUAAUGAUCUAAUACCGCCCG